rnacentral:rRNA from 1 species
GAAUAUUGGACACUGGNCUAAACCCUGAUCCAGCCAUGCCGAGUGUGUGAUGAAGGCCUUCGGGUUGUAAAGCACUUUCNCACGUGACGAUGAUGACGGUAACCGUGAGAAGAAGCCCCGGCUAACUUCGUGCCAGCNGCCGNNGUAAUACAGAAGGGGGCAAGCGUUGUUCGGANUUACUGGGCGUAAAGGGCGCGUNGGCGGCGAACUAAGUCAGGCGUGAAAGCCCUGGGCUCAACC